UCGCUGUGUGUUAUAUGUGUCACACAGGACUGCUGGGUAUUAAGCCGGAGGAAGUGGGGACGACGUCAAGUCAGCAUGACCUUUAUAUCCAGGGCUACACACACGCUACAAUGGUCAGUACAAUGGGUUGCCAAGCCGCGAGGCGGAGCCAAUCCUAAAAAGCUGGCCUCAGUUCAGAUUGCAGUCUGAAACUCGACUGCAUGAAGUCGGAGUUGCUAGUAAACGCAGGUCAGCUAUACUGCGUUGAAUACGUUCCCGGGGCUU
rnacentral:rRNA from 1 species